GAAAUGCGAUAAGUAGUGUGAAUUGCAGAAUUCAGUGAAUCAUCGAAUCUUUGAACGCACAUUGCGCCCCUUGGUAUUCCAUGGGGCAUGCCUGUUCGAGCGUCAUUUGUACCCUCAAGCUCUGCUUGGUGUUGGGUGUUUGUCCCGUCUCCGCGCGAGGACUCGCCCCAAAGUGAUUGGCAGCCGGCGUACUGGUCCCGGAGCGCAGCACAUGUCGCGCAAACGAGUGCCUUGGUACGGCGGCGUCCAUAAGCCCCUCUCUCACGCUCUUGACCUCGGAUCAGGUAGGGAUACCCGCUGAACUUAAGC
rnacentral:misc_RNA from 1 species